CUACGGGGUGCUGCAGUGAGGAAUAUUGCACAACGGGGGGAACCCUGAUGCAGCAACGCCGCGUGGAGGAUGACGCAUUUCGGUGUGUAAACUCCUUUUAUAUGUCAAGAAAAUGACGGUAGCAUAUGAAUAAGCACCGGCUAACUCCGUGCCAGCAGCCGCGGUAAUACUGAGGGUGCAAGCGUUACUCGGAAUCACUGGGCGUAAAGGACGCGUAGGCGGGUUGGAAAGUCAGGUGUGAAAUCCUACAGCUUAACUGUAGAACUGCACUUGAAACUUCUAAUCUAGAGUAUGGGAGGGGGAGAUGGAAUUAGUGGUGUAGGGGUAAAAUCCGUAGAUAUCACUAGGAAUACCUAAAGCGAAGGCGAUCUCCUGGAACAUUACUGACGCUAAGGCGUGAAAGCGUGGGGAGCAAACAGGAUUAGAUACCCUAGUAGUC
rnacentral:rRNA from 1 species